AAUCAUAAUGUAAAUUACAGCUUUUGCAUUUUAUUCCUUCUCACAGUUGGCUUGUCAGCCCUGUUAGUUUCACUAGACCCCAGUGUUGAACCCAAUCCUGGGCCAAUGGAUUUCGUACCAUUCAAAUAUGAAUCAGAAAUUGAGACAACGUCAUUUCGUCAGUGAAAG